GGGGUUAUAGCUCAGUUGGGAGAGCAGUAGACUGAAGUUGGUAUCCGGAGAUGCUAUUCUAAAGGUCCCCAGUUCAAUCCUGGGUGACCCCA